rnacentral:rRNA from 1 species
GAUGAACGCUGGCGGCGUGCUUAACACAUGCAAGUCGAACGAUGAAGCCCAGCUUGCUGGGUGGAUUAGUGGCGAACGGGUGAGUAACACGUGAGUAACCUGCCCUUGACUCUGGGAUAAGCCCGGGAAACUGGGUCUAAUACCGGAUAGGAGCGCCUGUCGCAUGACGGGUGUUGGAAAGAUUUUUCGGUCAUGGAUGGACUCGCGGCCUAUCAGCUUGUUGGUGAGGUAAUGGCUCACCAAGGCGACGACGGGUAGCCGGCCUGAGAGGGUGACCGGCCACACUGGGACUGAGACACGGCCCAGACUCCUACGGGAGGCAGCAGUGGGGAAUAUUGCACAAUGGGCGGAAGCCUGAUGCAGCGACGCCGCGUGAGGGAUGACGGCCUUCGGGUUGUAAACCUCUUCAGCAGGGAAGAA